rnacentral:lncRNA from 10 species
GGCAGGGGGAAGGAAGGAGAAAUAUAUAGGAACUGUCUGUAUUUUCUGUUCAAUUUUGCUUGAACCUAAAACUCUUCUAAAAAUAAUGUUUAUUUAAAAGGCAGGGGGGAUGGACUAAGUUCAGAGUUUCCUGGUAGCCAAGGGAAAGAAUGUCUUCCAUAGCUGUUCAUACAAAAAAAUCCAGCUAUGUGUCAAGAAUCAGGAACUUUUCCCUCAUAAAUAUCCAUAUGAAUCCCAAAAAUCACAAAAAUUAAAAUAAAUAUCACAGUGCUAGGUAAUGAAAUUGUAC